rnacentral:rRNA from 1 species
GACAGAGGGUGCAAACGUUGUUCGGAAUUACUGGGCAUAAAGGGCACGUAGGUGGUUCGCUAAGUUACGUGUGAAAUCCCACGGCUCAACCGUGGAACUGCUGGGCAUACUGGACAUCUCGAGGCACUCAGGGGCGAGCGGAACAAGUGGUGGAGCGGUGAAAUGCGUAGAUAUCACUUGGAACGCCAAUGGUGAAGACAGCUCGCUGGGGGUGUCCUGACGCUGAGGCGCGAAAGCCAGGGGAGCGAACGGG